rnacentral:rRNA from 1 species
UACGGAGGGUGCAAGCGUUAAUCGGAUUUACUGGGCGUAAAGCGUGCGUAGGUGGCCAAUUAAGUCAAAUGUGAAAUCCCCGAGCUUAACUUGGGAACUGCAUGUCGAACUGCCAGGCUAGAGUAUGGUAGAGGGGUGUGGAAUUUCCUGUGUAGCGGUGGAAUGCGCAGAUAUCUGGAGGAACACCAGUGGCGAAGGCAGUAGUCUGGGGCAACACUGACGCUGAGGCACGAAAGCGUGGGGAUCAAACAGG